CAGCAAAGUGUGCUUCAGAAAACAGGAACUGUUGAGAAGGCCAAAGGAAUCAGCAAUCUAAGCUGUAUAAAUUCAAGAACAGAGCGUAUUGAAGCAUGGCGUUGACAGAUGCUCAACUGCAGUUAUAGCUCAAUUGAUUCUAUGAGACUACUGUAGUUAUAGCUCAAUUGAUUCUAUGAGACUAUGACACUUGACUCCGUAAGUUUGUUUGGUUUGCAUAUUGUGAGGGAAACGUUUGUGAAUUGUCGUAUAUGUUUUCUGCGUGCCGGGAGAUUUCCUUUGACCCUUUUGUAAUUCCACGGACAUCAUCUC
rnacentral:lncRNA from 1 species